rnacentral:rRNA from 1 species
AGUGAACGCUGGCGGUAGGCCUAACACAUGCAAGUCGAACGGCAGCACAGUAAGAGCUUGCUCUUACGGGUGGCGAGUGGCGGACGGGUGAGGAAUACAUCGGAAUCUACUUUUUCGUGGGGGUUAACGUAGGGAAACUUACGCUAAUACCGCAUACGACCUACGGGGGAAAGCAGGGGAUCUUCGGACCUUGCGCGGUUGAAUGAGCCGAUGUCGGAUUAGCUAGUUGGCGGGGUAAAGGCCCACCAAGGCGACGAUCCGUAGCUGGUCUGAGAGGAUGAUCAGCCACACUGGAACGGAGACACGGUCCAGACUCCUACGGGAGGCAGCAGUGGGGAAUAUUGGACAAUGGGCGCAAGCCUGAUCCAGCCAUACCGCGUGGGUGAAGAAGGCCUUCGGGUUGUAAAGCCCUUUUGUUGGGAAAGAAAAGCAGCAGGUUAAUACCCCGCUGUUCUGACGGUACCCAAAGAAUAAGCACCGGCUAACUACGUG